rnacentral:rRNA from 1 species
GAUGAACGCUGACAGAAUGCUUAACACAUGCAAGUCUACUUGAUCCUUCGGGUGAUGGUGGCGGACGGGUGAGUAACGCGUAAAGAACUUGCCCUGCAGUCUGGGACAACAGUUGGAAACGAAUGCUAAUACCGGAUAUUAUGUGAGUUUCGCAUGAAAUUCAUAUGAAAGCUAUAUGCGCUGCAGGAGAGCUUUGCGUCCUAUUAGCUAGUUGGUGAGGUAACGGCUCACCAAGGCGAUGAUAGGUAGCCGGCCUGAGAGGGUGAACGGCCAACAGGGGACUGAGAUACGGCACUGACUCCUACGGGAGGCAGCAGUGGGGAGUAUUGGAAAGUGGACCAAAAGUCUGCUCGAGCAAUUCUGUGUGCAAGAUGAAGUUUUUCGGAGUGUAAAGUGCUUUCAGUUGGGACGAAGUAAGUGACGGUACCAACAGAAGAAGCGACGGCUAAAUACGUGCCAGCCGCCGCAGUAA